GAUGAAGACCGUAGCGAAAUGCGAUAAGUAGUGUGAAUUGCAGAAUUCAGUGAAUCAUCGAAUCUUUGAACGCACAUUGCGCCCUUUGGUAUUCCAAAGGGCAUGCCUGUUCGAGCGUCAUUUGUACCCUCAAGCUUUGCUUGGUGUUGGGCGUCUUGUCUCUAGCUUUGCUGGAGACUCGCCUUAAAGUAAUUGGCAGCCGGCCUACUGGUUUCGGAGCGCAGCACAAGUCGCACUCUCUAUCAGCAAAGGUCUAGCAUCCAUUAAGCCUUUUUUUCAACUUUUGACCUCGGAUCAGGUAGGGAUACCCGCUGAACUUAAGCAUAUCAAUAAGCGGAGGA
rnacentral:misc_RNA from 1 species